GCUUAGACUGGAAAAGCCGAGAUGAUGUCAAAGAUCUUCUCAAGGUCUAGGAAGAAAUUUCUGACAGUGUUGGAAGCCUGGAACUUACUGGAUCAAUGAGAAGGGACUUCUGGCUUCUCAGUCAGACAAGGAUCAGUAGAAACUGAGCCAUGGAAGCCCACCAAAACCACAAAACAUUAACACUGCUGCUCUGCUUCCAUCCCUGCUACAGAAGCCAUUUGAAGCAUUUUUUUUUUAUACAGCUCUCAACUUGUGUUCUCUGAGGAUCUCAGCACACUAAAGGAAGAAGAAAGUAGUGUGAACACCAAACCGAGAAAUUGCCAGCGUCUGAACAAG
rnacentral:lncRNA from 1 species